rnacentral:lncRNA from 1 species
UUCAUCCGGGCCCACGCGUCGGAGGCCCAGGCCCAGCAGGUGGAGCCGAAGGCACGCGACACGACCUCCCUGAAGACCUUCCAAAUCUACCGGUGGAACCCUGAGAACCCGUCGAAACCGGAGCUGAAGGACUACCAGAUCAACCUGAAGGAGUGCGGGCCCAUGGUCCUGGACGCGCUCAUCAAGAUAAAAAACGAGAUCGAUCCCACCCUCACCUUCC